rnacentral:lncRNA from 1 species
UUUACUAUGGCAAAUAUUGAAGAGCUUGACAUGUUGUUUAUGCAUUUAAUUUUGAAAUUAUUGUUGGUGAAUGGUGACAUAAAAGGUCUUAAAUUGUUGUCAGUUUCACAGCGCAGUCAUUAAAAGGCUAGGCUAAAGCCUAGUUCUAAAACUCAACUAUGAAAUAAUAUAGACUGCUGAAAAAGCAUGACAGAUAAUUUUAUGAAGCUUUGUAGUUCAACAUUGAUAAAAAGAUGACUGCAAAUAACACUUGUAAAAAGGAUUAAGAUGAAACUAGAACAAAAGAGAGGUAUAAGAAUCACGUUCCUUAAAAAAAUUCACAAGAAUAGAACUUGUUCUUUAGAAAUCAUAUAACAGGUAUUUACAUUAUCUUCUGAACAAGAANNNNNNNNNNNNNNNNNNNNNNNNNNNNNNNNNNNNNNNNNNNNNNCAGAUCCAACUCUCAACAGACAAUCUAGCAGCAAAAGAAAACUGAUCAUAAAAAAAAUUGAAAAUCAAAGUGAGACAAAUGUUUUGUGCUUUUCUCAACAAGUUUGUUUACCAUUUUCAAAGAUUGAUUUUCAUCGAGGAGCAUGAAUAAGAUGCACCACCAAUCCUGUAAAAAUAUACAGCGCGAGUAUGUAUUUAUCCCUUCUUAUCAUAAAAGAACAUCAACGACCAGAGAAAAUAUCCAUACCCAACUACGUAACAAACUUUUCCCUACAAAAGAAACAACAAUAACUAAAGCCUUUUUACCCAUUAGGUUAAGCAGCUACAUAAAUGAAAUGACGCUAAAACAAAGUGAAAAUAGUAUUAAUGUAUAAAUAGAAAGAAAAAAAACUUUACCUAGUUUUGAUUAUAUAAUAGACCUCUCUCAAUCAUUUCAUGACGAAGUUUAUUUGCUUUAUCAUUUUCACCUUUUUCCAAGAGGGAAAGAAUAAUUGUUUCAUAAGUUUCAUCAUCCGGAAUACAACGAUUGGGUUCCAUUUUUGAUAGCAUGGUAAAUGCUUCGUCAAACAAGCCCUUGUUGCAAAAUCCCCUGAUCAUAGCAUUAUAUGUAUAGACAUGUAGAUUGUAGCCUUUGACCAAAAGAUCUUCAAAAACCUUUCUUGCAUCCUCCGGUCUCCCAUUUAUACACAAUCCAUGUAUAAGAAUAGUGUACGUAUGCAUGCUUGGCUGAAUACCCUUCUCUAUAAUUUUGGUUAAUAAUGCAAUUGCCUCGUCAACAUGAUGGUUUUUGAACAAAGCAUCCAAUAUAGAAUUGUAAGUUAACAAAUUAGGUGGUUGAGCUCUAUCAGGCAUUUCAUCGACAAGCUCCAAUGCAUAUUCAAUUCUUCCUGUUUUACACAAACCAUCAAUGAGUGAACUGUAAGUUACCACAUCAGGAAUAAUGUUUCUACAACGCAUUUCAUCGACAAGCUCCAAAGCAUAUUCGAUGCUUCCCGAUUUACACAAACCAUCAAUAAGUGAAGUGUAAGUCACCACAUUAGGAAUAAUGUUUCUACAACGCAUUUCAUCGACAAGCUCCAAAGCAUAUUCGACUCUUCCCAACUUGCACAAACCAUCAAUAAGUGAAGUGUAAGUCACCACAUCAGGAAUAAUGUUUCUACAACGCAUUUCAUUGACAAGCUCCAAAGCAUAUUCGAUUCUUCCUGACUUGCACAAACCAUCAAUAAGUGAAUUGUAAGUCACCACAUUAGGAAUAAUUUUUCUACAAUGCAUUUCAUCGAGAAGCUCCGAUGCAUAUUCGAUUCUUCCUGAUUUGCACAAACCAUCAAUAAGUGAAGUGUAAGUCACCACAUUAGGAAUAAUUUUUCUACAACGCAUUUCAUCGAGAAGCUCCAAUGCAUAUUUGAUUCUUCCUGAUUUGCACAAUCCAUCAAUAAGUGAAUUGUAAGUCACCACAUUAGGAAUAAUUUUUCUACAACGCAUUUCAUCGACAAGCUCCAAAGCAUAUUCGACUCUUCCCAACUUGCACAAACCAUCAAUAAGUGAACUGUAAGUCACCACAUUAGGAAUAAUUUUUCUACAACGCAUUUCAUCGACAAGCUCCAAAGCAUAUUCGACUUUUCCCAACUUGCACAAACCAUCAAUAAGUGAACUGUAAGUCACCACAUCAGGAAUAAUGUUUCUACAACGCAUUUCAUCGACAAGCUCCAAAGCAUAUUCGAUUCUUCCUGAUUUGCACAAACCAUCAAUAAGCGAAGUGUAAGUCACGACAUCAGGAAUAAUUUUUCUAUGAUGCAUUUCAUUGAAGAGAUUGACGGCUUCAUCUACCAUUUUAAGUUUACAAAAUCCAUUAAUCAAGAUACUGUAGCUCCAAGCCUCAGGAGGCACUCCAUUCUUAGCCAUAGUGUUGAGUAUAUCCUUAGCAUUGUUGAUUUCUCCAACUUGACAUAACCCAUUGAUGAGUGUAGUAAAAGUUAUGACAUUUGGGUGAUAACCCUUUUUGAGAAUAGUGGCAAAUACAGCAAAUGAAAGAGAGAUUUGACCCAAUUGAGAAAANN